rnacentral:misc_RNA from 1 species
GAUGAAGAACGUAGCGAAAUGCGAUAAGUAAUGUGAAUUGCAGAAUUCAGUGAAUCAUCGAAUCUUUGUACGCACAUUGCGCCCAUUAGUAUUCUAGUGGGCAUGCCUGUUCGAGCGUCAUUUCAACCCUUAAGCCUAGCUUAGUGUUGGGAGACUGCCUAAUACGCAGCUCCUCAAAACCAGUGGCGGAGUCUGUUCGUGCUCUGAGCGUAGUAAUUUUUUAUCUCGCUUCUGCAAGCCGGCCAGACGACAGCCAUAAACCGCACCCUCUCGGGGGGCACUUUUUUAAUGGUUGACCUCGGAUCAGGUAGGAAUACCCGCUGAACUUAAGCAUAUCAAUAAGCGGAGGA